rnacentral:rRNA from 1 species
AUUGAACGCUGGCGGCAUGCCUUACACAUGCAAGUCGAGCGAGAGGCGGACGGGUGAGUAAUGUAUGGGGACUGCCCAAUAGCGGGGGAUAACUACUGGAAACGGUGGCUAAUACCGCAUACUAUCGGAUAACCCAUAUGGGAUUAGCUAGUAGGUGGGGUAAAGGCUCCCCUAGGCUACGAUCUCUAGCUGGUCUGAGAGGACGAUCAGCCACACUGGGACUGAGACACGGCCCAGACUCCUACGGAGGCAGCAGUGGGGAAUAUUGGACAAUGGGCGCAAGCCUGAUGCAGCCAUGCCGCGUGUAUGAAGAAGGCCUUAGGGUUGUAAAGUACUUUCAGCGGAGAGGCGUUACCCGCAGAAUAAGCACCGGCUAACUCCGUGCCAGCAGCCGCGGUAAUUC